rnacentral:snRNA from 1 species
AUGCUCACUUUGGCAGCACAUAAACUAAAAUUGGAAGACAGAGAAAUUAGCAUGGCCCCUGUGCAAGGAUGACAUGCAAAUCUGUGAAGCAUUCCAUAUUUUU